AGAGUUUGAUCCUGGCUCAGGAUGAACGCUAGCGGCAGGCUUAACACAUGCAAGUCGAGGGGCAGCAUGUCCAGCAAUGGAUGAUGGCGACCGGCGGAAGGGUGCGUAACGCGUGAGCAACAUGCCCUAUACAGGGAGAUACACCAGGGAAACUUGGUCUAAUAUCCCAUAGCAUUCAUUGAAGGCAUCUUUAAUGAAUUAAAGCUUCGGUGGUAUAGGAUUGGCUCGCGUGACAUUAGCCAGAUGGUGAGGUAACGGCUCACCAUAGCAAUGAUGUCUAGGGGUUUUGAGAGGAAGGCCCCCCACACUGGGACUGAGACACGGCCCAGACUCCUACGGGAGGCAGCAGUGAGGAAUAUUGGACAAUGGAUGGAAAUCUGAUCCAGCCAUGCCGCGUGCAGGAAGACGGCCUUAUGGGUUGUAAACUGCUUUUAUACGGGAGCAAUAAGGGUUACGAGUAAUCCGAUGAGAGUACUGUAUGAAUAAGGAUCGGCUAACUCCGUGCCAGCAGCCGCGGUAAUACGGAGGAUCCGAGCGUUAUCCGGAAUUAUUGGGUUUAAAGGGUGCGUAGGCGGCCAUUUAAGUCAGCGGUGAAAUUUUGCAGCUUAACUGUAACAGUGCCGUUGAUACUGUUUGGCUAGGAUUUGGUUGUAGUGUGCGGAAUGUGUGGUGUAGCGGUGAAAUGCUUAGAUAUCACACAGAACACCGAUUGCGAAGGCAGCACACUAAGUCAUUAUUGACGCUGAGGCACGAAAGUGUGGGUAUCAAACAGGAUUAGAUACCCUGGUAGUCCACGCUGUAAACGAUGAUUACUGGUUGUUUGCGAUACACUGCAAGUGACUGAGCGAAAGCAUUAAGUAAUCCACCUGGGGAGUACGUCGGCAACGAUGAAACUCAAAGGAAUUGACGGGGGCCCGCACAAGCGGAGGAACAUGUGGUUUAAUUCGAUGAUACGCGAGGAACCUUACCUGGGUUUAAAUGGGGAGCGACAGGCUUGGAAACAGGCCCUUCUUCGGACACUCUUCAAGGUGCUGCAUGGUUGUCGUCAGCUCGUGCCGUGAGGUGUCGGGUUAAGUCCCAUAACGAGCGCAACCCCUAUCGAUAGUUACCAGCACGUUACGGUGGGGACUCUAUCGAGACUGCCGGUGUAAACCGUGAGGAGGGUGGGGAUGACGUCAAAUCAGCACGGCCCUUACAUCCAGGGCUACACACGUGUUACAAUGGCCGGUACAAAGGGCAGCUACACAGCGAUGUGAUGCUAAUCUCCAAAUCCGGUCUCAGUUCGGAUCGAAGUCUGCAACCCGACUUCGUGAAGCUGGAUUCGCUAGUAAUCGCGCAUCAGCCAUGGCGCGGUGAAUACGUUCCCGGGCCUUGUACACACCGCCC
rnacentral:rRNA from 1 species